GUGGGGAAUCUUGCGCAAUGGGCGAAAGCCUGACGCAGCCAUGCCGCGUGGAUGAUGAAGGUCUUAGGAUUGUAAAAUCCUUUCACCGGUGAAGAUAAUGACUGUAGCCGGAGAAGAAGCCCCGGCUAACUUCGUGCCAGCAGCCGCGGUAAUACGAAGGGGGCUAGCGUUGCUCGGAUUUACUGGGCGUAAAGGGCGCGUAGGCGGACAGUUAAGGCAGGGGUGAAAUCCCGGGGCUCAACCUCGGAACUGCCUUGGAUACUGGGUGUCUUGAGUAUGAGAGAGGUGUGUGGAACUCCGAGUGUAGAGGUGAAAUUCGUAGAUAUUCGGAAGAACACCAGUGGCGAAGGCGACACACUGGCUCAUUACUGACGCUGAGGCGCGAAAGCGUGGGGAGCAAACAGGAUUAGAUACCCCGGUAGUCC
rnacentral:rRNA from 1 species